CGGCCAGCCCCAGCCAGGGGCUGAGAGUCCCGCGCAACCUCCCCAUGCCUGCCCCGCGCGCAGCUGCUGCAGCUUAAAGCGAGGCCCCACGGGGCUGGUAGCACCGAGGAAGAUCCAUGGCAGGUUUAACGUGUAAUGGGCAAGAGUUUUCACUGCGUCGGUUUCCCUAAAACCCUCAUGAAAAUACAGCCACAGCUGGGGUGGGGAUGGACUGCUCCUCAGCAAUGCCCUGAGAGGAAAACUCCACCAGGAACCGUCCCGUUCUCACAAGAAGCCUCAGUGUAUCUUUAAUGUGCAGGCAGAACACGCAAGACCUGUUUUAAGGGAUGAUGUCAGGCCCUUGUCUCCUUGGAAUCUGAAGUUGCUGAGAUGGAAUUUGAACUGAGUUCGGUAUAUGUUCCCUUCUCCCCUCCAACCCGUUUACUGAAAAGUAAAUGAAGUUUCGUAUUCUUCUGCACUGUUAUGUCCUGUACGUGGUUUUUGAACAUUGACUGAAGAAUCCAUCCAUGUCGGAAUUUAGAUAAUGGAGAUUUCUACAGGCAUCAAAGAAUCCUGCUAUAAAGUGAAGUGAUCGGUGACUACCAGAACAGUAUGAAAAGCUAUCUAACAUCUACUUCUCAGCUGUUAGGGUGUCUCUUUUCCUCAGGCCUGGUCUUCACUACAAAGUUAGGUUGAUAUACGUCACCUUUCAUCAACCUGUUUGUGCCUCUCUCUACACUGAAAAUUGUCUCUGAAAGAUGUAAACGCCCCGUUAUGGUGAUGCAGUAAAACCACCUCCCCAUAUGGUGCGGAGCCAUGGUCGACCCACCGAGGUCAAUGUAGUUUCAGUGAAGACACUGUGCAACCUUUGUUGAUCCUAACAGUCCAUCAGCAGCUGUCCCAAAAUGCCCCAUUCCCUGAGACAGUGACCAUUCUGAUCACAAUUGUGAACUCCACUGCCCAGGGUUCACAGAGAUCAGAAGCCACACACCCCUUAAAAGCCCCCACAUAUAUUUGAAAUGCCUUUUCCUGGUUGCUCAGCUUGGCAAGCAUACCUGCCAGCACUCCCUGUCAAAUAAAGUAAAAAUACUAAAUGAAUCAAACUGUACCAGAGAAUCUCUCUGGAUAGAAAUUCCUUGCUUGAACAUUCAGAGUAUAGAAGUAGGAAAUUUACUACCAACCACCUUACUAGGAUGGUGAUGGUGAUUGUGAAAUGCUCAGGGAGAUUAGAGAGGCUACAAAGGCAGAAAACAAUAUAGUGGAGGAUUUUACCUAUCCUCCUAUUGACUGAGUACAUGUCACCUGAGGAAAGGAUAGAUGUCUGCUUUGAAGAUCAGCUUGUCCUGGAACUCCAGGGGAGAGGCAAUUCUUGAUUUAGUCCUUAGUGGUCCAAGAGGUGAAUAUAGCUGAACCGCUCCUUAAUAGAAACCAUAAAGUAAUUAAAUUUAAUAUUUUUGGGAGGGGGGGAAUGCCAAAGAAAUGCUAUUGUCGUGGGUUUAACAUCAAAAUGGGGAACUACACAUAAAUGAGAAAGUUAGUUAAAUAGAAAUUAAAAGGAACAGUCUGUUGUGGUCAAAGACACCCACGCAGUGAUUUUAGUUCAAAGACUCAAGCGUGAGGCCAGUUUAUUGACAUACAUACAAUUAUAACAUUUAAACAUUUGAAUAAAAUUAAUCCAAAUAUCUAGAAAAAGUUUUCAAAGAGGGAAAAGUGCUGCCUGCCUAAUCAUUAUGUUGCUGGCAGUAGUGCUGGGCCACAGAGGAAAAGUUUAACUUAACUGCAGCAAUCUACGGUGCACAGUCAUCCGGUGAUGCAUGCGAGCAAAUAGGGCCAGAGCACCUGAGGCGCAACCGUCCAGGGAGCGCCAAAGGUGAUCUGGGUAUAAGGUGUACCCAGCAACACUUCAAGAACAAUUUGUGGCUUUUUAGUUGAUAUUAGCUUUUAUUUGCUAUUUGUUACCAAAACAGUUUUAAAAUUUUCCAUUCUUCUGGCUUUGACUACCCUGCUGCAGCCACAACUUUGGUCUUUAUUUAAAACAAUUUAUAUCUUAUAAAGCAUUAAGUCACCUUAAGGAUUAAAUGCUAAAUACCAAAACUAAACAACACUAGUUUACUUUGUUUGGCAAAAGUAUUUUUUUUGGUUCUAUAACCCCAAAACAACAUUAAUUUAUCUUAAACUUAUAAAACAAAAAAUUAUACACACCAGGAGUGUUUUUUAACAAAUUUAACUAACUUUUUCAUAGUCAAAUGAUUUUACCUAUAUAACCUUUUGCCUGGAUUAUUUACAGACACUCCCAAAGGAAUGGCUGCAAAGAAACCAAGAAUUUUUCUUUUAACAUUUAUACAUAGUUUCACUGCUUAAUUCCCACCAGUAAUUACAGAGUUAACUUUUUACUUUCUUUUCUUUAACUUCCUUAAACUGCGGUUGCCUGCCCGUUUGGGCCCAAUCCUUCUUUUCAUGGGCACAGGCAUUGUUUUACUAUCAAUUCAGCAAGGAGGGUGGGCUUUUUGGCUAACCCCCCUUGUAGGAGAGGAUUCAUUAUUUAACAAAGCAAUUACUAUUAUACACAAAGAGUGGUUAAACAACACAACAACACUAGAACACUGCAGUAAGCCUUAGUCUCCUUUCCAGGCAAGAGCAAUUUUCCUAGCCUCUAUUACUCCGGUGAGGCCAAUCCCCCAACAUGCAUGCCACUGGGGAGGAUUUACAAAGGGAGGUCCUCGCAUGCACCCUGUCCGGCAAUGAGUUACCAAUCCGCCUCUGAGAGGAACGGGGUAGGAUGCCCGGUUGCCCCAGGUUUUGGCAAACAAUUUCCAGGGGCUGGAGCUCACUCCAUGCUCCAGAGGAAGAUUUGGGGAAGGGUUUCGGUUGUAGGCCAACCACACAGAAGGUUAGGAAAGGCUUAGUCCCUGUACACCCCUCCCCCAGCAGAGAGCACCGGCCUGCCUUCAAGAGAACGGGAUGGGUACUCUACUACCUAGGAGUACGUGGGUGGUUUCCCGGGGCCUCCCCACUCUCCGAGCAAGGAGGGAUGCAAUCGUCACUUAACGGGUAGAAAAGGAUGGGGACCUACUACUCACACAAAGCGGGGGUCUCCGCUAUUCUCGGUCCCUUACCCCGCCCGUAGCAGGUCCCUGGACCACCUUACGACCCACAAUCACACCACACCUAAUUCGGGAUCUUGCUAUGACAGUCCUCACCAGUCCACACGGACUAUUGCUGGUGGGAGUCCUGCCAAUCCCCGGGCGGCGGAUCUCACUUCGUCCACUCAACCUAUUGCUGGUGGUUGAGGCUUGCUGACCCCUUCGGCUGUUCCGAGAUUCCCUGUACCUUGCCCUACGUGCGCAAUGGGGGUCUCCGGUUUUCCCAGUCCCUUGCCCCACCCGCAGUAGGUUCCAGGGUGCCCUGUACCUUGCCCCACUCACGCAACGGGGGUCUCCGAUUUUCCCAGUCCCUUGCCCCGCCCAUAGUGGGUUCCAAGGAGUGGAUUCCAUCCCCUACUCACUAUGGGGUCCACUUUCCUGGGGUUCCUCAGCAGCCGGCCCUGCACCCUCUGGGGGAACCACUCCCCAAAGGGCGAUAGCCACAAAGCUGACUAAGAAAAAAUAAAAAACUUAAAAAGGCAAAGCAUCGGAGCUUGGUGUACUUCUUGUUCUUAUCAAGAUCAGAAACCUCAAUUUACACUCUCUUACGCUGUCCGUGCACAGCCUUUCCCUUAAUAGGAUAGUGAGCUAUGCCCGGACAUAGGGAGAAGGCAUUAAAUGUCUUCCUCUCAGUUGUUUACCUCUAAUCCUCGGGCCACUCAGUUUUGGAGUCAGUGGUGGUUUCCUUUAUGUCCCGGAGAGAUCACCCAGCCUAUUCAGCCUCUGUUCCUGCCUGAAUAAUCUCCUGUCAUCCAAAACUUGUUUAUAUACUGGGCUGGCACUCUAAAAGUGUUUCACUGCCAGACGGAUGUCCCAGUAAUUUCACCGAGGCUGUUCCAAGGAAACCGUUGGGUCUAAGACCCUCGUGUACACACCACAAAACAGACAGUCCCCUACGCCCCCCCCAGCUUAUAGCCUAAGUAAAUAAUGAUAGAAAUAGCAUAGCAUGAUGCAAGAAAUUAAACAGACAAGUUACAGAAUGGACACACACAAAGCGAACAGGCGUCAGGCAAAUGAGUCUAGCCUCAAAAGGUUCGGAUCACAGCACGUCCUUACCUGAACCCAGAGCCUAUGGGCAGCUCCCUGCCUGUCAUAACUAUAAAGGGAAGGGUGUAACAGCUGUCCUGUGUACAGUACUAUAAAAUCCCUCCUGGCCAGAGACUCCAAAAUCCUUUUCCCUGUAAAGG